rnacentral:snoRNA from 1 species
UCACACUGUUCAGAACCUGGUUGAUUUGGGUUUAAAUCCAGUGCUAUAUGAAACUCCAGUGAGGCAGGGGAGCUCCCUGUUCACUCAAAUGGGAACAUUG